UGUAGUCACUUAAUAUCAAACUCUUUUAUUUCAGAUUAUCCUUCAACAUUACAACAGAGAGCAUGACGAGUAUAAGCCAGAAAUCCUGGAAUUCAUAGUCUUCGAUAAUUUACAGAAUCUGACUGCAUUUUUAUCCUAUUUGAAGAAUCGCUUGACUUCGUUUUAUCUGUUAGUCAUUGUCCUUGAAGGGUCAACAGAACUGGUCUGGUUUUUACGUUGGCGUUGUUUUGAUAACAUUCCAUCGAUAUACAGAUAUUCCUUUCACUUUAUGCCCAGAAUUGUUACGGAUAGCGUCGUUUUUGCCGGUCGUGUCGUGAAUGUGGAUGUUAAAUUACUGUUAUAAAAGUGACAAUUAGAAGACACGGGACCAAGUUUCCUAAACUCUUUAUCAUUAGUAGCGACAUUCGGCAUAAAAUGCUUAGCGGUUAGUUUGUGUUCGGUGAAGUGUUUUUGAUACUUGCCUAAUUAAUUUUUGAUAAAUUGUACUGCUUUCGUCGUUUAAUCGGUUGAUGUGCUAGGUACAAGGACUUAUGAAUAUAUGGAAUCAUCGAACGAGUGCCAUUGAAGAUUGCAUGAGAUAUUCAUUCAUGGUUCUCAGUGCCUCUCGUUCAUCAUUAAUUGGUUAUAUGGAAACAGGCGUCCUGUACGAUCCAGUCAUAUGAAGCUGUUUACCUCUGAAGG